ACGGGUGAGUAACGCGUGGGAAUCUACCCAUCUCUACGGAAUAACGCAUGGAAACGUGUGCUAAUACCGUAUACGUCCUUCGGGAGAAAGAUUUAUCGGAGAUGGAUGAGCCCGCGUUGGAUUAGCUAGUUGGUGGGGUAAAGGCCUACCAAGGCGACGAUCCAUAGCUGGUCUGAGAGGAUGAUCAGCCACACUGGGACUGAGACACGGCCCAGACUCCUACGGGAGGCAGCAGUGGGGAAUAUUGGACAAUGGGCGCAAGCCUGAUCCAGCCAUGCCGCGUGAGUGAUGAAGGCCCUAGGGUUGUAAAGCUCUUUCACCGGUGAAGAUAAUGACGGUAACCGGAGAAGAAGCCCCGGCUAACUUCGUGCCAGCAGCCGCGGUAAUACGAAGGGGGCUAGCGUUGUUCGGAUUUACUGGGCGUAAAGCGCACGUAGGCGGACUAUCAAGUCAGGGGUGAAAUCCCGGGGCUCAACCCCGGAACUGCCUUUGAUACUGGUAGUCUUGAGUUCGAGAGAGGUGAGUGGAAUUCCGAGUGUAGAGGUGAAAUUCGUAGA
rnacentral:rRNA from 1 species